UUUCUUUCAGGUUUCUUCAUGCUUGUAGCUGUGUAGUCAGGUUUUUCAAUCCAGAACAGUGAAACUCAUCUUUGAGAGAGCUGGGGAAGGAACAACUACAGUCUUCAGGAUUCAGUCCUGGGCUUGCUUCUGCAGUUUGAACUAUACACCAUCAGAUUGAUCUUCCAGAGCACAAUUCUGCUAGUUGACAUAGAAAUGCUGCUAUGUGAAGACUACCCAUGGAAAGAAAAUGGUGCCCACUUCCUGCAACUGCAAGGCUGAGGCUGAAACCCAAGCAGAAGCAUUACACCUGUGUUGACAUCUCCACUCAAACAGAUCUGCCAAAAACUGAAGUACCUGCCGAGAAUAGCUCUUGUUGCUCAAGUACCUGAAAAUCACUCUAGCACCCAUCCCUACCAGUGGAUGUCAUAGUUGCAAGUGGACCCAGCUGGAAGAAAUCUUCAGACAAUUUGUUCUCUUACAGGAGGAGUUUAACAGGUGGUGGAGGGCCUGAGAAUGUGAAAGGGAAGUCAAUAAGUGUUUUGUAUGCUGUCCCAGACUGACCAACAGCCCUGCCUUGAGGCUGUACAAGGGAAUCUAACCUCAAACUUUCUGACACUAGUAACUCACGAGAUAAAGGAGAUGGCACAAUUUUCUCUGCAUGGAGAAUCUUCCCCUGAAGUGUCUCUACACAACAGAUACUGUGCUCUGGGCAUGCACAAUGAAGGUCACAGUAAUAAUGGACAGGAUCCAGGAAACCCCAACUGUUCAAUUCCAUCACUUGUGUGAGAAACAGUAGCUUCAGAAAAAGAUGUAAUUGGCGAUUCCUUACUGUGAGCCACCAAAGCAUCUGUUUCUCAUUCAGAUUUUUCUCUAGAGAAGUUCACUGCCUAUCAAGAGAUUGCAUUCACAAUGUCACUGCGAAGCUGCUGAGCCUACUGAACCCUACAAAUUACCAUCUGCUCCAAUACUGUUCUAUGUAGGGUCUGUGGCAAGACAACUCUGAACACUCAGAAAAGAUUAUAUAUCCCUCAAAGCAAUAUCAAAUCCCCUGGAGCACAGAUCACGUUCUCCUCUGUCCUCCCAGGCAGACGUAGGAGUUCAGGAAAGAGGAGUCAAAUUGAAAGGUGAAUGCCUGGCUGCAUGGCUGAUGCCUACUCAAGGUUUUGGCUUCCAUGAUCGUGGACCUGCCUUUGGAAGCUGGGUCUGUUGUGAGCUUGUGAGAUUCACCUGAUAAAGUGGGGCAGAAGGUUGUUCACCAACAAGCUGUCCACACUUACAUGGAGAGCAUUAAAUUAGAUUUAGUGGGGAAGGGGACUUUGAACAACAGAGAAAAACUAGGGGCUGCUAAUGUAUUAGAAACCAACCUGUGGAAUGCCCCAAAGAUGCUGGGGAGUAUUCAUCUGAAGAGGUGAGACAAUCUCUAGUGCAGGUGAAGUGCCCAUGCAGCAAUGCCCACAGCAUGGGUAACAGCAACCGCUGGAAACCACUGUGCAGCUGGAACACUGUGGUCUAAUCACUGUCUCUGAGAUGUGGAGGGACAAAUUGCAUGGCUGGAGCACUGCAUUAGUGGCUAUAAACUGUUCAGAAGGGACAGGCAAGGAAGGAGGAGCGGGCAGCAGUGGGGAUCGUGUUACCCUCUGUGUGGAAAAUGGAUGAACUACAGGGCGCUGCCAUGGAAAGCCAGCAAUGAACAGGUGAAAUGGGUAAAAAUGUAUAGAUAAAAAUUGGGAUCAAGCCAACAAGGGAAACCUCAUGGUUGAUGUUUACUACAGGCCACCAGACCUAAGGGAGGAUGUUAAUGAAGUGUUUUGACAUCAGCUACAGGAAGAUUCAUACUCCAGGCUCUGAUCCAGAUGGGGGAUUUCAACUACUCUGACAUGUACUGGAAAAGUACGCAGCAAGCUUUAAACAGGCCAGGAGACUCCUGCAAUGUUUUAAGGAUAAUUUAUUAACCCAGGUGAUAGCCCAACCAGAGGACAAGCAUCACCAGACCUGUUAUUUACCAGCAUAGACGAAGUAAUUAGGGAUGCCAAAAUUGGUGUCAGCCUGGCCUGAAGUGAUCAUUCUUUGAUUGAAUUUAUAGUCUUGAGGGAUAUAGACCGGAUGAAGAAUCCUUAUGUUUAGGAAAGCAAUAGUUUGAGGAACUAGUACACUGAGAGCCUGGGAAAUUGCCCACAGAGGAUAAAGGAAGUAAAAAUUGCUGUCAGCUCCUUAAGGACAUUUUUCUCAUAGUGCGAAAGGUCUUGUUUCCCUAUAGGUAACCACGGAAAGGAAGGCAGGAGGCCAGCAAGACUCAGUUCGGCCUCCCAACUAAAGACAGAAAUGCAAAGGACAGAUACCCAUCCUGGGAAGAACAUAGACACUGUCUAGAUGUAUGAAGAAGGGAACAGGAAAGCUGGUACACAGUUGGAGCUGCAGUUGUCAAGGGAUUCAAAUACUAAGGGCUUCUACAAGUAUUUUGGAUAGAAAAGGAAGAUUAAGGAAAAUAUACUUCCUUAAUAAAUAAGACAGGACAACUAGUGGCAGUCAAUGUGAAGAAGCUGAGUAAUUCAGCAAUUAUUUAAGCUUUAGUUUUAAAUGUUAAACUGCCUUCCAACAUUUCUAAAGCCCCUGAACCUCAAGACAGGAACUGGGGGAAUGAAGUUCAGCUUUGGGACCAGCUGAGGAACCUGAACAUAAAUAAGUGCAUGGCAUUCAAUGAGAAGUAACUCUCCAGUAACCUUCCAUGAAGCCAACUUUGCUCUAGUUUUCAAUGCUGUAUCAUUUCCAAUCUCAAGAGAGACUCAGGAUAAAUUUUCCAGAGAAUGUGGAAGCAGAUUUUAUGUUGAAUAUUUUGUACAAAGUAAGGGCAGCAUUCACCAAGAAAUGAUCCUCUUGGAAAUAGUAACAAUAAAGAUUGUUUUUGUUUCAUUAAGUUUCCCUUAGGUCCUACAGCAGAGUUCUAUCAGGAUAUUGUUGGAUUACUUAAUCAACUUCAUUUCCAUUUGCCUUCAAUUAGUUUUAUAUUUAAUAUUAAUACAUUUCUGGAGUUGGCUAAAAGAGAAUGAAGAUGGGAGCUGGGAUUGGGAAUUGAUUCUGGUCCUCAAGGAGGAUUUAACUGUGAAGCAGAAAAAUUAUGUCAUUGUUACCUUUGUGAAGAGUAAAAGAACAUUACAGGACUGGAAGAUAGCUUCAUUUUUUUCUCUUUUGGCACAGACAUUGCCACUGCCUUAAGAGCCACCUAACAGAAAGCAAAGAAAUGUGCUGAAGGUACUCCCUAUGCUGUAGGUUCAUGGUGAAUGAGUUUUGAAAUAUGCAAAUGUGGUGUCACCUCUCUACUGUUCAGUGUUCAUAACCCAGGAGCUCUGCAGAGAAGGAGAGAAGCAUUUUACCUUGGUAUGAGCAGGAUCCUGUGUUAGGAUGAUGCCAAAAUCCAGAGCACAUAUUGCAUCCAAGGUGACUUAAACCUAAGUUAACAUCCAUCUAGGAAACAUGUGUGCCACAGCAGGGAAACUGAGGCAGAAGAAACUGCAGCUGUACUGGCUGUACCAUCAGCAGGCCUUUAGGAAGUUAUAAAAUGGAUUUACUGUGUGAAAUUCAGGCUGGGUUUCUGCCCAUCAUACACAUUAUGCAGUUACCCCUCUGACUUUGAAAUAAACAUGGUGGGUGGGCAGCUGAUAACCUCUCUAUUUGAUUGUUGAAUUAAUGAAAAUUUUUAUGCUCACGGAAGAACUCCCUGUUUAGGUAGCUUGGAGUCUAGUUAUUUCUUUGAAUGAUACUGUAAAAGUCAACACAUUUUCAAUAGGAUCCACCUGUAUCACUGAAAAGCGAUAGCUUUUCAGAUAUUGUUCAGCGAGCCAAUUUUUUCCUGUUUGCAUAUAGUGCCAAGGAUAACUAGAACAUAUGGCAAGAGAAGAAAUCCUGCAGGCUCAUGCACUGUUACCUUUCUUCCCAUCUGCUUCAGGAGCUGGAUGUCCUGCCUUGCUUAUAAACUGUUAAGUCCAAGUACACUAUUUACAAGUGAGAUGGAAGGGGAAGGCAAGAUUUUAAAGGGCACAGACAAUAGCUGACCUAGGAACAGGGAGAGUAGGACACUGGGACUUUAUUUUCUUUUCUUUUCCAAAAACCUUUAAUGUGGCUCCCAUGCCUGAUGAGAAUAUUUGAAAGCAAAGCUUAAUGUACACUUCAGUAUACCAUACAAAGCAGCAGGCAUGAACUGGAUGGCAAAGGGAAAGACCACCCAAAUUCCCCAUUUUAAAGGCACUCGAUGAAUUUUCAGAUUUGAAUUUUAAGGACAAUGAUACUUUUACCUGAAAGUCCUGACAAGUGUUUCUAUUUUCAUGGCCUAAAUCCAAGAUCUGUCCUCUGUCUCUCCAUAGGUAUUUGGGACUCACCUUUCUGUCACUUUUCCUCAUCUCUGUCUACAAUCAUGUCCUGUAGAGAUAUGGUCUCUAAAGUGAAGAAACACUGGAUGUGGGACACUCUGCAAGGGUUGCAUAAAACAAUUCAUUGGUUUGCAUGAAGAAAAUAUUUUCUGUAUCAUUUAUGAAUAAAAUAAAAUUAAACAAAAAUCAAAAUUUUUUGGGUUUUUUUCAGUAUCUAUUUUGGUCCAUGUUUUAUCAUGUACGUAGCAUUUUAUUACAGAAUUACAUUUUUCUAACUACUAAAUAAACAAACAUAUACUCCAUUGUUGAGCUUGUGUGCUCAAAAACUGUUUUUAAUAGGGUUGUGCAACCAAAAAAUUUGAAGAAUAUUGGCCUAUCUCUUCUUUGAGCCCCUUCUAUGAGGGGCUUAGAAAGGAAAAAAAAUCCAUAUAGACUUUAUUUAUUCCAGGAAGAAUAAUUUUCUAGCUCAAGACAUUGAGUACUCUUGAGCCUUUGUAUUUGAUUAGAUAAUGAAAAGUACGAGUAGCAUUAAUUCUCCAGUGAUGCUUGAGACAAGAUUGUCUCCUGUUUGUACUUGUUGUUACGCCCAAAAUUAAUCUCUUUGCAAAUAUCAGAUAAAGCUCAUACUUUGUGCUUUACUGUCUUAGUGUCCUUAGAUAAGAUUCCCCUGUCCUAUAUUUUCCUGGAGAAGGCUGAAUUUUGCAGAAUGGACUUUGACCCACAUGUCAAAACUUUAGUGGUCAUAUUUCCAUGACAAUCCCAAGUGCUUUAUGAGUGACAGUUUUAAAGUCUACAUCUUUUGUUUGUGAGAUUGUAUGAUGCUCAGAGAAAACACAAUUCUUAAUAUUCGGUGACACAAGUUUUUUGUUUUCAAUGUAAAUCUGGAAAUGCCCUGA